UGGUGGUGUGACCACAGAUUUAUAUGUCUGGAUUAAGUUGAUAGGCCUGCUGUGUUUCAGGCGUGGUGUUCUUCCUUCAAUAUAUUGGCAGAUGCUUGCUUCUGUUAAUUAAAGCUUCAAUCUUAGGAGGUACUGCCCUGUGCUUGAAUGCAGUUGUCUUUGUUUAGACAGCAGCCGAGCCCAGUCAACAAUUAUUAGUAGUAGUUACGAGAUAAGGUAGAGGAGGCAUAUAGGGCCAGCCGUCGUAUAUGCAAUGCAUGAAAGUCGUUGUUGAUUCCAUUCAAGUAACGAAUAAAUAGUAGUUGCUAAUUCUAUUCAUAGUGAUUACAACCAUAGGUAAAUGUAUGCUUCUAACUUUCAUAUGCAUGCUUCCCAGUGUACAUACGUGCGAGUUCAUCUUCGCCCUAGAUGCCUGUGGCUUCUCUCUUUUGGUGCAGUUUACAAAUAGAAUGCUAAGGCAAGUUUAAUUUCUAAUGUGCAUGUAAAUCCUUGAGAUUUUUGGUGUUUAUGAAGAUCCAAUAAACAAAGAGUUGAAUGAUAUGAAAGGGGAAAUAGACAGAAGAGUGAAAAAUAUGUGGUUGCAGUGCUGAUGAAUUUUAGGAUCUGAAGCUACUGCUUAUGGAUACCAAUAUUACAUUAGCAUUUGGUAUUUAGAUCUGCUUGUUUUUACCUCUUUGCCUAUAAGCUCUAUAGAGAAACAUUUAUUCUCUGUUUGGACUUUGAUUUCUGAAUUUGGUUCCUUGCUGAAGAAAUAGCUGAAGCUUUGCUUUCUUAAAAAAAGUAAAGCUUUGCUGCUGCACACUAUUUUCUUGCCUUUCCUUGGAGAUGAUUAUACAGAUUAGUUGCCAGCUUUAUCUCUCUACGAUUUGUGCCUCGGUUGCCAGGUUAUCUCAUAUGAAGCCAUGAACUGAACCUAACAUUAACUAGAAAUAUAAACCAUUGUAUAUGAAGAUACUAUCUGAGUACGUACUUGCAUGUUCUUUAGAUCUACUACAUAUGAUUUAUUACGUAUAAAUAUGCCAUGUAAGUAUCUACUUUUAGAUCAUUAUUGCUCGCACAUAAAAUGGUUCCAGUAUCUGGUUUGAUUUUGUUUUUAUGUGUGCACAGAUCCUGUCAUGGAGAUGGUUGACAUUACGGACAAGUUCAUACUCAUGUUCAUUAAGCUGUAGCUCCCACCACCAGUUUUUCUGCUGCAAAGUUGGACAAUGGUUUGCAGUUACAAUCAAGUUCCGUACCAGCAUGCGGCAUCGGUGACAUGAUGCCGAAGCAAUGGCACUAUCGCGGAUUUUUGGUAUAUAUCUAUUUCCAUAGAAGAUGCAUGUAUGUUGCAGCGGCUCGAGUUAUCAGAUGCAUGGAGACU
rnacentral:lncRNA from 1 species